rnacentral:rRNA from 1 species
GGUUAAGCGACUAAGGUACACGUGAUGCCCGGCAGUCAGAAAGCGAUGAAGGGCGUGCUAUCUGCGAUAAGCGCCGCGCGUAAGGAUAUGAACCGCCAUAACCGCGAUACCCGAAUAGAAACCCAGUGUGACUCAAGGUCACACUAUCAUUAACUGAAUCCAUAGGUUAAUAUCGAGGCGAACCGGGGAACUGAAACAUCUAAGUACCCCGGAGGAAAAGAAAUCAACCGGAGAUCUCCCCAGAAGCGGCGAGCGAACGGGGAUGGUCUAAGAGCCCGAAUCAGCAUGUGUUAGUGGGAAGCGUCUGAAAGGCGCGCGAUACAGGUGACAGCCCCGUACACAAAGCGCAUGUGCUGUGAGAGCUCGAUGAGUAGGGCGGACACGUGGUAUCCUGUCUGAAUAUAAAGCAUCCUCCAAGGCUAAAUACCCCACUGACCGAUAGUGAACCAGUACCGUGGAGGGAAAGGCGAAAAAGAACCCGGCGAGGGGAGUGAAAAGAACCUGAAACCGUGUACGCAAUAAGCAGGGAGCACAGGUUUACCUGUGUGACUGCACCUUUUGUGGCAAUGGGUCAGCGACUAUAUUCUGUAGCAAGGUUAACCGUAUAGGGAGCCGGAGGGAAAACCGAGUCUUAACCGGGCGUUAAGUUGCAGGGUAUAGACCCGAAACCCGGUGAUUCAGCCAUGGGCAGGAAGGUUGGCAACACUAACUGGAGCACCCGAAACCGACUAAUGCUGAAAAAUUAGCGGAUGACCUGUGGCUGGGGUGAAAGGGCCAAUCGCGGGGAGAUAGCUGGUUCCUCCCGAAAGCUGGUUUAGUAGCGCCUCGUGAAUUCAUCUCCGGGGUAAGCGCAAAUACUUCGGCUAGGCCAUCCCGGCUUACCAACCCGGGAUGCAAACUGCGAAUACCGGAGAAUGCUAUCACGGAGACACACGGCGGGUGCUAACGUCCGUCGUGAAGAGGGAAACAAACCCAGACCGCCACAGCUAAGGUCCCAAAGUCAUGGUUAAGUGGGAAACGAUGUGGAAGGCCCAGACAGCCGUGAUGUUGGCUUAGAAGCAGCCAUCAUUUAAAAGAAAGCGUAAUAGCUCACUGGUCGAACGGCCUGCGCGGAAGCAAGAUGUAACGGGGUUAAACCAUGCACCGAAGGGUGGCAUGAACGUAUCACUCUAAAGCGAUUCAGGGAUGACGAUUGACGGAGCGAAGCGACGUCAAAGCGUGUAUACAAAGUCGAGUCGGUUUAAGGAUACGUUCGUUGCGGGGAGCGUUCGUGCUUCCGCGAAGGUGGCCUGUGAGGGUUGCUGGAGGUAUCAGAAGUGCGAAUGCUGACAUAAGUAACGAUAAAGCGGGUGAAAAGCCCGCUCGCCGGAAGACCAAGGGUUCCUGUCCAACGUUAAUCGGGGCAGGGUGAGUCGACCCCUGCUGGGCGAGGGCCGAAAGGCGUAGUCGAUGGGAAACGGUUAAUAUUCCCGUACUUGGUGUUACUGCGAAGGGGGGGACGGAGAAGGUUGGCGUUGGCCGGGCGACGGUUGUCCCGGUUUAAGCGUGUAGGUGUGUGUUCCGUAAAAUCCGGUUCACUUAACACUGAGUAAGGCGUGACGACGAGGCACUACGGUGCUGAAGCAACAAAAUGCCCCGCUUCCGUGAAAGCCUCUGCCAGGUAACAUCAAAUCGUACCCCAAACCGACACAGGUGGUCGGUGGCAGAGAAUACCAAGGCGCUUUGAGGCAGAACUCGGGUGAAGGAACUAGGGCAAAUGGUGCUGUAACUUCGGGAGAAGGCACGCUGACAUGUAGAAGUGAUUUACUCAUGGAGCUGAAGUCAGUCGAAGAUACCAGCUGGCUGCAACUGUUUAUUAAAACAAUACACUGUGCAAACACGAAAGUGGACGUAUACGGUGUGACGCCUGCCCGGUGCCGGAAGGUUAAUUGAUGGGGUCAGCGCAAGCGAAGCCCUGAUCGAAGCCCCGGUAAACGGCGGCCGUAACUAUAACGGUCCUAAGGCAGAAGCGAAAUUCCCUUUGUCGGGUAAGUUCCUGACCUGCACGUGAAUGGCGUAAUGAUGGCCGUAAAGCUGUCUCCACCCGAGACUCAGUGAAAUUGAACUCGCUGUGAAGAUGCAGCGUACCCGCGGCAAGACGGAAAGACCCCGUGAACCUUUACUAUAGCUUGACACUGACAUUGAGCCUUGGAUGUGUAGGGAUAGGUGGAGAGGCUUUGAAGUGUGGACGCCAGUCUGCAUGGAGCCACCUUUGAAAUACCACCCUUAAUGUUUGAUGUUCUAACGUGGACCCGUAAUCCGGGUUGCGGACAGUGUCUGGUGGGUAGUUUGAUCAGCGGUCUCCUCCUAAAGAGUAAACGGAGGAGCACGAAGGUUGGCUAAUCCGGUCGGACAUCAGGAGGUUAGUGCAAUGGCAUAAGCCAGCUUGACUGCGAGCGUGACGGCGCGAGCAGGUGCGAAAGCAGGUCAUAGCGAUCCGCGUGGUUCUGAAUGGAAGGGCCAUCGCUCAACGGACAAAAGGUACCUGGGAUACAGGCCGAUACCGCCCAAGAGUUAUAUCGACGGCGUGUUUGGCACCCGAUGUCGGCUCAUCACAUCCUGGGCUGAAGUAGGUCCCAAGGGUAUGGCUGUUCGCCAUUUGUGCGGUACGCGAGCUGGGUUUGAACGUCGUGAGACAAAGUUCGGUCCCUACCCCUAUCUGCCGUGGGCGCUGGAGAACUGAGGGGGCUGCUCUAGUACGAAGGACCGGAGUGGACGCAUCACUGGUGUUCGGGUUGUCAUGCAAUGGCACUGCCCGGUAGCUAAAUGCGGAAGAGAUAAGUGCUGAAAGCAUCUAAGCACAGAAACUUGCCCCAGAUGAGUUCUCCCUGAGACUUUAGGUCUCCUGAAGGAGCGACCGAAGACGACGACGUUGAUAGGCCCGGGUGUGUAAGCGCAGCGUGUGCGUUGAAGCUUAACCGGUACUAAUGAACAGAGGCAACACA